CUCUUACUUAGGUAGAAGGAGUGCAGAGUCUCAGCCAAGUUCUUUCUUGAUCCCUGAGUGAGGGGAGGCCUCAGGUCUUCCACACCCCCAGCCUUUCACCCCAGGUCUUCUGGGGGACAAGCAGGCCCAACCUGAAGCCUGGCUUGGUUGUUCCUCUGCUUUGGCAUGGAGGGACCAACCCCCACCUGUCAAGCUGUAAACCCCUAGGGAGGUGACCCCAGUGGAUGUUCCUGAAAGUGGGAGGGAGUGUGAAAACACCCCCAGUCUUUUCUGUGGAGCCCUCUGAGGUAAGGAACCAGAGCUGAUUGCCUGCUUGGUGGGGGAGGGUGGCUCUCUACAGGCAGGGAUGCAGUCCUGCUGAGCAUUCCCUCUGGGCCUUGUGGCAGGUCUCACUGUGGUGACUCAGCUUUGUCUGGAAUGGCUCAGGAGGGCCUGGGGAAAAAAAAAAAAUGGGUAUCCCUGACUAGGCCACAGCAGCCCAAGUGAGAAGGGACAGGACACUGGUGGAGUGCAGUGGCCUGUCAUUAUCUUCUGCACCCCCUCAGGGAGCCAGGUGCUGGUGUUUCUCCAUGCCUGCUUUCCAAAUCAGACAGCUUAGGUGGGGAGUCACCUGACCAGGGAGAGUGCCCCUGAGUGGGGUCCCAGGGCAUUCCAAAAACAAACAAACAAACAAACAAACAAAGAAGCCCAGCCCUUGCAGCAUCUUGGGUACCCUCUUAUCGUCACUAAUAAAUGGGGGUCCAGUUCUACCUCAGCACUGGCCUGAGAUCAAGGCAAGUCUGCAGAAAGUAGCAGUGCGGAGGAGGGCCCAACACCACGUGAGCAGAGAACUUAGUGACAGGGAGUAAGUAACCCUCUGUAAGGAGGUGCCACUGACAGAUGAGCCUCGACCAAUGAUGUAGUAAUAUCUGAUAAUCAGACUGAAGUAGAGAAAUCACUUAAUACUCCACCUACCAAACCGGUCACUACAGCUGCUUGCCCUGGGGCUGACGGCCAGUUAUAACCUCACGGUAUUGCCCAGGACCAUCAACAAUGUAACACUAGCACAAGGCUGGCUCCUCCUCUUUUACUGUCCCACAGGGCUAAGGAUUGAGGCGCCUCCCAACCGCCAGCAUGCUAUAGUGAGCUGCAGUACAGCCCUACGUAUAGGCUUAACCAGGAAAUAUCUGGCCCAUACACAGUGUGGAACUAGAUCAAAGAGGGUAAGCCUACCCCAUUGAGAGGCACCGGGGAAUCCUAGCUUUUGGACUCUCCCAGUCACCUGAAGGCUUAGUGGGUCUCAGAUAGGAGGUGGUGUCCUGUGAAAAACCAAGCUCUUGCUUCGCAAAAGACCCUCCGCCCAGCCUAGCAGCUGCUGUCUUCAUCACCCAAACCCUGUUCUCCGACGGAAGAAGCCGGGCACCCCGUGGAAGCCUAGCUCAGGUGAAGGAUGGAGCCAUUCUCUCAAAAGAUGGGGGAGACCUUCUAAACCCUCUCUUAGCGUCGUCUCCAUGUCUCAGGGCCUCCAUUCUCUUUAGUGUACAAAGGGAGACCUGCUACUCACGCCGUGGGAAACAACUCCACAGAGUUCUACGGACUAAGCAGAGCUGCACAGAGCUGACUGAAAUGAUGCCGGUGUAGCUUGAAUCUAACAGGAGCUCCUGCAUCCGCCGGAGCCUCAGUUUCCUCAUCCGUAAGUGGAGUCGCGAGUUCUACUCUUAAUAUAUCAACCGAGGCGUUGGGAUGCUGCGAGCCAAGCGCAUGCCGGUUUGCAGGUCCCUGCGCAUCCUCGGCGGGCCCAUAACCCUGCAGGAUGGCGGCACAGGCGCAUCUCUCGGCCUGUACCCUUCUGACUCCCAGGUACAUCCUGCUCCUGAACUUAUAAGUGGCUCCCCUUCAGAGCUGCUGAGCUGUGCUCCCCACUCGACCGCAUAGCCUGCCCGCAGCCCGUGCCAUCUCGUACCUCGUGCUCCAGCUUGUGCAGAAGGCGGCCCCAUAGUCGCUCUGGGACUCCCGAGGCGCGCAGCGUAGGGCCGUGCAGCGACACGAACUCGUCCAGCAGCCGCGCGUUCAGCCUCUCGGCGCGGCCGGGACUGCCAGGCUGCGGCCCGGACUGGAUCUCCAUAGUGCUCGGAAGAGCACGGCGCCGCCCACCGCAGGAUUUAAGCGGACGGCGCGCACGCGCCUGCGUCCUGGGUUGCGAGGUUCCAAGAGUGCGCACGCGCGCUGGGGGCGUGUCUUCUCCAUUCAUCCCAGGACUGCCGCGAGGGAUUCUGGGAACGCUGCUUAGAAGCCCCAGAGAGUCAGAAUCAGGAGAGAUUGUCCUCAAGGAGCCGGUGAAGCUGAGAUGGGGAGGGGGUCGGGAAGAGGCAGAAGGUGCUCCCCCUUGCGCUGGUUGCAAUCUUGUUUCGCCUGAAUUUUUUUUUUAAUUUUAGUUUAAAAUUUUUAUUUUUUUA
rnacentral:lncRNA from 1 species